rnacentral:rRNA from 1 species
AUUGAACGCUGGCGGCAGGCCUAACACAUGCAAGUCGAACGAGUGGCGGACGGGUGAGUAAUGUCUGGGAAACUGCCCGAUGGAGGGGGAUAACUACUGGAAACGGUAGCUAAUACCGCAUACCAUCGGAUGUGCCCCGAUGGGAUUAGCUUGUAGGUGAGGUAACGGCUCACCUAGGCGACGAUCCCUAGCUGGUCUGAGAGGAUGACCAGCCAAAUGGGAACGGAGACACGGUCCAGACGCCUACGGGAGGCAGCAGUGGGGAAGAUUGAACAAUGGGCGCAAGCCUGAUGCAGCCAUGCGGCGGGGAUGAAGAAGGCCUUCUGGUUGUAAAGUACUUUCAGCGGGGAGGCGUUACCCGCAGAAGAAGCACCGGCUAACUCCGUGCCAGCCGCCGCGGUAAUAC